AAGACCCCGUGAACCUUUACUAUAGCUUGACACUGAACAUUGAGCCUUGAUGUGUAGGAUAGGUGGGAGGCUUGGAAGUGUGGACGCCAGUCUGCAUGGAGCCGACCUUGAAAUACCACCCUUUAAUGUUUGAUGUUCUAACGUUGACCCGUAAUCCGGGUUGCGGACAGUGUCUGGUGGGUAGUUUGACUGGGGCGGUCUCCUCCUAAAGAGUAACGGAGGAGCACGAAGGUUGGCUAAUCCUGGUCGGACAUCAGGAGGUUAGUGCAAUGGCAUAAGCCAGCUUGACUGCGAGCGUGACGGCGCGAGCAGGUGCGAAAGCAGGUCAUAGUGAUCCGGUGGUUCUGAAUGGAAGGGCCAUCGCUCAACGGAUAAAAGGUACUCCGGGGAUAACAGGCUGAUACCGCCCAAGAGUUCAUAUCGACGGCGGUGUUUGGCACCUCGAUGUCGGCUCAUCACAUCCUGGGGCUGAAGUAGGUCCCAAGGGUAUGGCUGUUCGCCAUUUAAAGUGGUACGCGAGCUGGGUUUAGAACGUCGUGAGACAGUUCGGUCCCUAUCUGCCGUGGGCGCUGGAGAACUGAGGGGGGCUGCUCCUAGUACGAGAGGACCGGAGUGGACGCAUCACUGGUGUUCGGGUUGUCAUGCCAAUGGCACUGCCCGGUAGCUAAAUGCGGAAGAGAUAAGUGCUGAAAGCAUCUAAGCACGAAACUUGCC
rnacentral:rRNA from 1 species